rnacentral:lncRNA from 1 species
CUGGCCAGAUCUUCCCAAAGCGCCUGGGAGAGACCAAGCUAUACACACACACACUGCCAUACACACACACACUGCCUCUCUCUCUCCACACACACACACACACACACACACACACACACACACACUCUCUCUCUCUCUCUCUCUCUCUCUCUCUCUCUCUCUCAACUUUGGGACCACAAAUUAACUAGCUUGGCUGACGGGAAGGAGAGACAGGGCUGUCGGCUUCUGUACGCACUCACAGCCCCUGCGCUGAGCGCUUUGGCUGCCUCUCCUUAUUUGAGACACACUGCAGCCCUGUGGGGUGGGUCAUUGUUUGUCAUCCCCAUUUCACAGAGGAGGAGCAACCUGGGGAACUUUAACAGCUGCCCAGGGCCAGUCCCCCAGAAAGGCAUGGGGACAGCGUUCCAACACCAUGCUCAUCACUCACACCCUCUGCCACUUUCACAGACAGGAGGGAUCUCAGACACGAGAAGGGUCAUUUCCCUUAUUUUGUAGAUGGAGAUUCUGACGCCCAGAGAUGGGAAGGGGCUUUCUGAAGGUCACACAGCACAAAGAUGAUAAAGCAACAGCCACAGCCCUGCCAGGAUGAAUCAAGGAGCUGAGCUUGGGAGUAAAACCAAAGUGCAAGUCUGACUUUACAGAAGUGGAGAGGGAAAUGGCAGCCUCAGGGAAACCUGGCCUGGUGAGGGGGUGUCCCCACUGGCUCUCCGGUGCCACUGGGUUUGCUCCCAGGAUCUUACUGCCUUCUGUGUGCAGUCCUGCACCCCUGGGCGAAGACUUCUCAUUUACUCUCUUCCUUCUCCACAUGCAAGUCAAACUGUUCCCUGCCUAAGCAAAGUCAAAUGGAAUCAGCCUGAAAAUGCUAGAGAAUAACAAAAAAGCACCCCCUGAAGCUAAAUCCAGACCAACGGCCAUUCAUCCAUCCAUCCAUUCAUUCACUGAGCAACAACAAACACUUAUUAGGAAAUAAUAACACUAGUGUUGAUUGAGCCAGGCACUGUGCUACAUCCUUACAUCAAUUACUGUACUUGCCCCUCACAACAAUUCUAGGAGGAAAAAACUGUUAUCCCCAUUUCACAGGCAAGUAAACUGAGGCACAGGGUGACGAAGGCAUGUUCCAAAGUCAGACUCGAGUUUGCCUACAACUGAGGGUAGUGUCACUGCAGCUUUCUUUUCUUUCCUAUUUUUUCUGCCCUUUUCUCCACUUUUUUUUUUUUUAAUUUUUUUUAUUUUUGCUCUGUCACCCAGGCUGGAGUGAAGAGGCGCGAUCUCUGCUCACUGCAACCUCUGC